rnacentral:rRNA from 1 species
UACGGAGGGUGCGAGCGUUGUCCGGAAUCACUGGGCGGAAAGGGCGCGUAGGCGGCCUGAUAAGUAGGGGGUGAAAUCCUGCGGCUUAACCGCAGGGCUGCCUUCUAAACUGUCAGGCUCGAGCACAGUAGAGGCAGGUGGAAUUCCCGGCGUAGCGGUGGAAUGCGUAGAGAUCGGGAAGAACAUCGGUGGCGAAGGCGGCCUGCUGGGCUGUUGCUGACGCUGAGGCGCGACAGCGUGGGGAGCAAACAGG